GGUUAGCUAGGAGAGUUUUUGGUCAAGCCUAUUGGCUAUGUGUGUGUGUAUGUUGUAGUAGGGUUUUACAUAGGGUGUGGAAUACAAAAUCUUCUCCCUCAAUCUCCUCUCUCUCUAAGGUUGCUACCCCAAAUUUCUUGAAGAAACCCUAAAGUGGGGGGCGCCUCCCUCAAGCCCUAGAUGCCCUAGGGCUGGAAGGGAGGCGCCCCAUCAUAGCACCUAAAGAUUGGUGCUGGUGUUUACUACCUUCAGAGAGAUCGAAUCUAUCAUAGGUCUCCUCAGGUUCAUGCAUAAAAUCAGGAGUUUCAACAUAGUAUCAGAGCAGCACAGCA
rnacentral:lncRNA from 1 species